AUACGUAGGGUGCAAGCGUUGUCCGGAUUUAUUGGGUUUAAAGGGUGCGUAGGCGGCCUGAUAAGUCAGUGUUAAAAUACGUCAGCUUAACUGGCGGACUGGCAUUGAUACUGUUGGGCUUGAGGGAGAUGGAGGUAGGCGGAAUUUAUGGUGUAGCGGUGAAAUGCAUAGAUACCAUAAAGAACACCGAUAGCGUAGGCAGCUUGCCACGUUUCACCUGACGCUGAGGCACGAAAGCGUGGGGAUC
rnacentral:rRNA from 1 species